rnacentral:piRNA from 1 species
UGCCUUGACACAGAAUUGUGCAAAGAGCC